rnacentral:tRNA from 1 species
GCCCGGGUGGUCUAGUGGUAUGAUUCUCGCUUAGGGCCCACCCUAGCACAAUAUGCGAGAGGUCCCGCGUUCGAUCCGCGGCUCGGGCC